rnacentral:tRNA from 4 species
GGGAGCAUAUUUCAGCGGUAGAAUAUUUCCUCGACAAGGAAAAGGUCACUGGUUCGAUCCCAGUUGCUCCCACCA